rnacentral:rRNA from 1 species
CCUACGGGAGGCUGCAGUGGGGAAUAUUGGACAAUGGGGGGAACCCUGAUCCAGCCAUGCCGCGUGUGUGAAGAAGGCCCUCGGGUUGUAAAGCACUUUCAGUGAGGAAGAACGCCUGGUGGUUAAUACCCAUCAGGAAAGACAUCACUCACAGAAGAAGCACCGGCUAACUCCGUGCCAGCAGCCGCGGUAAUACGGAGGGUGCGAGCGUUAAUCGGAAUUACUGGGCGUAAAGCGCGCGUAGGUGGCUUGAUAAGCCGGUUGUGAAAGCCCCGGGCUCAACCUGGGAACGGCAUCCGGAACUGUCAAGCUAGAGUGCAGGAGAGGAAGGUAGAAUUCCCGGUGUAGCGGUGAAAUGCGUAGAGAUCGGGAGGAAUACCAGUGGCGAAGGCGGCCUUCUGGACUGACACUGACACUGAGGUGCGAAAGCGUGGGUAGCAAACAGGAUUAGAUACCCUAUAGUC